rnacentral:rRNA from 1 species
UACGUAGGUGGCAAGCGUUGUCCGGAUUUACUGGGCGUAAAGAGCGCGCAGGCGGUCGAAUAAGUCGAAUGUGAAAGCCCCCGGCUCAACUGGGGAGGGUCAUUCGAUACUGCUCGACUUGAAGGCAGGAGAGGGUAGUGGAAUUCCCGGUGUAGUGGUGAAAUGCGUAGAUAUCGGGAGGAACACCAGUGGCGAAGGCGACUACCUGGCCUGUUCUUGACGCUGAAUGGCGAAAGCUAGGGGAGCAAACGGG